AAAUUCAUAUUCAGGUUUAGUUUGGUAUGGGAUGUCUUGUCUCGACAUCUGGUGGAAGGCAGGCGAGUUGCUAACCGGCAGUUUUGGCAGACGGUCAUUCUGCGGAACAUUCUGCGGGAAGCACACAUCAUUCUGCGGUCAUUCUGUGGACAGAUCAUUUGUUUUGUUUUGUGUGUCGUUCACACAGUCACAGUUUCACACACUCAAUAGCAACCGGCUUUGCCUGCUUUAUUACGUGGGGCUAAUGAAGAGCAAGCAGCAACCAACUGUAGAAAAAUACCUAUUGAUCUUGAACAGCUGAAAGAUUAUCUUGCCAGUGAUUUCAAAAAUCGGGGGAUUUCUGUUUUGAUGCAGAUCAGUGAACCAACACUCUUAAACGUAGAAUCAAGAGCAUGGUUUAUCAAAAGAGAAAGCUACUCCAACAUUUCUGAUAAUGAUCUUGAUAUUGUGAUUGCCAACGUGCUCAAAAGGUUUCCCAAGUUUGGUCUACAGUUGUUGCAAGGCAAACUUGUUGCAAAUGGGUACAAAUUGCAAGAGAAGCGUUUGCAAGCUUCCUAUGCUAGAAUUGGGCUGAAGAAAGCUUAACCUGGCUUGAAACAGAUUCCUCGUGUGGUUUAUCACGCAGAUUCCCCUUUACAAAUGUGGCACAUGGAUGGAUUCCACAAAUUUGAUGGAUGGGGAUUUGUUCAUGGAAUUGUUGAUGGACAUAGUAAGGCGAUAGUGGGAAUGCAAGUUAGUGACAAUAACCGCUU
rnacentral:misc_RNA from 1 species